GACGAACGCUGGAGGCGUGCUUAACACAUGCAAGUCGAACGAUGAAAUGGAGCUUGCUCCAUGGAUUAGUGGCGAACGGGUGAGUAACACGUGAAUAACCUGCCCUUAAUUUUGGAAUAACCCAGGGAAACCUGGGCUAAUACCGGAUAAGUAAACCUGUGGCAUCACAUGGUUUUGGAAAGUUUUUCGAUUAAGGAUGGAUUCGCGGCCUAUCAGCUUGUUGGUGAGGUAAUGGCUCACCAAGGCGACGACGGGUAGCCGGCCUGAGAGGGUGAACGGCCACACUGGGACUGAGACACGGCCCAGACUCCUACGGGAGGCAGCAGUGGGGAAUAUUGCGCAAUGGACGAAAGUCUGACGCAGCGACGCCUCGUGAGGGACGAAGGUCUUCGGAUUGUAAGCCCCUUUCAGCAGGGACGAAGCGAAAGUGACGGUACCUGCAGAAGAAGCACCGGCUAACUAUGUGCCAGCCGCCGCUGUAA
rnacentral:rRNA from 1 species